GAUGAACGCUGGCGGCGUGCCUAACACAUGCAAGUCGAGCGAACCCUUCAGGGUGAGCGGCGGACGGGUGAGUAACGCGUGGGUAACCUGCCCUGUACACACGGAUAACAUACCGAAAGGUAUGCUAAUACGAGAUAAUAUAUUUUAAUCGCAUGGUUAAGAUAUCAAAGCUCCGGCGGUACAGGAUGGACCCGCGUCUGAUUAGCUAGUUGGUGAGGUAAUGGCUCACCAAGGCGACGAUCAGUAGCCGACCUGAGAGGGUGAUCGGCCACACUGGAACUGAGACACGGUCCAG
rnacentral:rRNA from 1 species